ensembl:lncRNA
GCAACGACUCCCAGGUGCCGCGGGGCCGCGGCCGGCCGGGCGCAGCUGCGCCUCGUCGGGAGCCGCGGGCGGGGCCCGCCCCAAAGCCUCUUAAGCUCCGCCGGAGGCUGCUGGGAGCCACGGAGGAGUUUCUGCGGUUCUCUGUUAGAAGCGAAAUGGACUCUGGUUUCUUUGCCCGGCUUUAGAGCUGCUGGGGUUGAGGAGCGGUAUGAGGGGCUGUUUUUAAAAUGGUGCCUUGGGGUUCUCUUUAUUGUUCUCGUUGUGUGGUUUUGUUUUAGGCUUCUGUGAGAUCUCCCGCGGUGAGGAUCAGCCCAUACCGAGGAGUGGUUCUGGCUGAACAAGUGGUGCAGCAGAGCCAAAACCGGUAAGGUCGUGGAAGCAGUGAGUGUGGGGGAGUCACCUAGUAAGAUCUCUUUUCUUGGGGGCUUGGUCGGCUACCUAUGCGCCUUCGGGCUCGGGCUCCCGCGUGGGUUUUUAGCAGGGCCGGCACGGUGCUGCCGCCCGAGACCGAGCACGGCUCCGGGGUGGCCUCUUCCCCCGGGAAGGGUUUUGUGGGUGCUCCCACCCAUCCCGUUUCCUGCGGUGGGAGUGAGCAGGUUGGAACGAUGUAUUUCUCUGCCUUUUCCUUCACGUGUAGCUUCAGGAGCACGGUUUAGGUUGCCAUUGCAGAGACCUGGCAGGGCAGCUCGCACGACUGGAGUGCUGUCGUGGAUGGCUCUGUUCCUUUUAGGAAAGACAGACCGGCCAGGCGGUGGAGUCUCUCUUCGAGGGAGAGAACGGGAACGUAUCGAGCUCCACCUAGGGAUGACUGAAGAAGCAGCGGAGCAUUUGCGUGUGAGGCUGAAGAGGCAGCUGAAAGUGUUGUUCACAGCUGUGAGGCCAGUUCUCAUGGUAGACUCCAGGAGUUUCCUGCAAUGUGUCAAAGGAAAGGUACCUGAAGACUGGAGGAUAGCUGAUGUCACCACAGCCUUCAGAAAAGGUGUCAUUGCCAUGUGACCAGAAGAGAAGAAGUUUGUAAGGAGCAGUCAAGAUGGAUUCACAGAGGGGAAUUCAUGCUGGACCAAAAGGGUGAAGGCUGCAGAGGAGAGCUUUGCAGAGAGGAUUGGCUGGAACAGGUGUGCGCUUUUCCCAGUGGUGGGAUGAAGGAGGGUGGAAGGUCAUGCCCUGAAGGAGGGGAGUUAAGGGAGAGUGGCCCUUUCCAGCUGGAGCUGGGGGUCCCGGUGCGGCUGAUGUCCCGUGGGGAAGAUGCAGAUCCCGGGAGCUGCGACCAGGAGGAGGAGCGGAGCCAGCAGUGGCUCCUGUGUGGUGAUGGCUGCUUAGUGGUGGUGUUCCUGGUCCUGGGCUGAAAGGAGGAGAAAGCUUUUAGUGUGUUACUUCAAAGCUCAGAUCACCUACUCCAACAGCACCAUGCCUCAGCCUCACUUCGCUCACCAGCUGAAAUUGCUGAGGAUGUUUCCUGUGUCUGUGUUGUUGCAGCUGAAUUUCUGCAAGGCAGCCUUUCUCAGAUGCGGUAGGGCUUCCCUGGCUUGAAGAUGUAUAUUGUACCUUGGUGUGGAAGUCUGCAGUUAUUAACUUCACUUUUAGUUAGUUAAUGUUCCAGCUGUGCUGCUGUUCAAAUGCAGCCACCUCUACAAGGCAGGAGAGAAAAAGGAGUUAAUUGACUUGAAUACAGAACUACUCUCCUUCUGCCUUUGCUGCUACUGUGUCUCAGUGUGUUAGUAGGUUGACUCAUUAGUGCAAGGAGAUGUCUGCUGGCCUUUAAGCUGUUGCUUCUGGGGCUAACAGGCUCUGCUUUUUUCCCAGUGGGCUGGUGAAGGAGUACACUACUGAGAAGAGAGGAAAAGCUUAACAAGUAUACAAGCUGUGUGUAGAAUAGGAAUGCAGCCUGUGUUGGAAGGGACCUCCCACUUGUAGCUCUGCCCCGGUCUGCCUGAACUUCAACUGCCAUCUCCAGUGGUAGUGUCCAAAUGCUUCUCCAACUCCCUCAGCCUGGGGCUGUGACUGCUGCCUGGGGAGCUUGCUCUAACGGCCCUCUGGUCCAGGGUCUUGUUAUAAUCUCCAAGGUGGCUUAAUACACGCACAUUAAUAUGCAUCUAAGUCCCUUGCCCUGGUCACUUCUAGAAAUACUGAAGUGCGUGUGCCCUGAAAUGAAGCCCCGUGGCCCCUGACGAGUGCUGGUCUGCUGGCCUCUUGCACUCCCCUUUAUUCUAACAAAUGCUUUGAGCCCCUUUUGCAGGGGGCUGAGUCACAGCUUAGCUUUUUGUUUAAGGUUUUAGGAGGAAGGGGUGUUUCAUGGUGUGAGAUUUAGUCCUCAGGCCUGCUUUCCUGACAAGGAUUUUCUUUACCUACUCCCCUGCGUGAUAAAUGCUUUGAACCAGACCAGAGGACAAGAUUUCAUGCUUUGGUAACCUGGGCUUUCUCUUCCACAGUGGGAUGUUGUAGAAACACACAGGCACAGAUUGAUAAAAACAGAAAAUAGAGUAGUUACUGAAUCUGUGUCUGAACUAGAAGUUGAUAGUGUAUUCCUCUGGUAGAGGAAUGUGAAAAGAUGGGGCCUGAAGCAGGAUACCAGUAUGCGUGCCUUCCAACAACCAGAACAGCUGAGCAAGGAGUACUGUUUGCAGCUAUGAAGCCUACAAGAACCAAAAAACCUCUGUUGAUUCAUAAUGUCUUUCUUGGGCAUGCAUGUUCAGAAGAGAGAUUCCAGCAUGCAUACUCAUCCUUAUAAAGUAUCUUUCCUUAUGAACACCAGUACAGAC